rnacentral:rRNA from 1 species
AUUGAACGCUGGCGGCAGGCCUAACACAUGCAAGUCGAGCGGAUGAAGGGAGCUUGCUCCUGGAUUCAGCGGCGGACGGGUGAGUAAUGCCUAGGAAUCUGCCUGGUAGUGGGGGAUAACGUCCGGAAACGGGCGCUAAUACCGCAUACGUCCUGAGGGAGAAAGUGGGGGAUCUUCGGACCUCACGCUAUCAGAUGAGCCUAGGUCGGAUUAGCUAGUUGGUGGGGUAAAGCCUACCAAGGCGACGAUCCGUAACUGGUCUGAGAGGAUGAUCAGUCACACUGGAACUGAGACACGGUCCAGACUCCUACGGGAGGCAGCAGUGGGGAAUAUUGGACAAUGGGCGAAAGCCUGAUCCAGCCAUGCCGCGUGUGUGAAGAAGGUCUUCGGAUUGUAAAGCACUUUAAGUUGGGAGGAAGGGCAGUAAGUUAAUACCUUGCUGUUUUGACGUUACCAACAGAAUAAGCACCGGCUAACUUCGUG